rnacentral:rRNA from 1 species
GAUGAACGCUGGCGGCGUGCCUAAUACAUGCAAGUCGAGCGAACAGACGAGGAGCUUGCUCCUCUGACGUUAGCGGCGGACGGGUGAGGAACACGUGGAUAACCUACCUAUAAGACUGGGAUAACUUCGGGAAACCGGAGCUAAUACCGGAUAAUAUAUUGAACCGCAUGGUUCAAUAGUGAAAGACGGUUUUGCUUUCACUUAUAGAUGGAUCCGCGCCGCAUUAGCUAGUUGGUAAGGUAACGGCUUACCAAGGCAACGAUGCGUAGCCGACCUGAGAGGGUGAUCGGCCACACUGGAACUGAGACACGGUCCAGACUCCUACGGGAGGCAGCAGUAGGGAAUCUUCCGCAAUGGGCGAAAGCCUGACGGAGCAACGCCGCGUGAGUGAUGAAGGUCUUCGGAUCGUAAAACUCUGUUAUUAGGGAAGAACAAAUGUGUAAGUAACUAUGCACGUCUUGACGGUACCUAAUCAGAAAGCCACGGCUAACUACGUG